CGGUUGUACAGAGGGCGCCUCACACUGGGCUCGGUUAAAAGCGGCCCAUGACCCAUGACACUUCUCCUUCUUCUCUCUGGCGGACCAUAUAAUAUAUGAUUGCGUGUAUGUGAUAUGUAUUACGUUGUGUAAGAUUCAGUAAAUAUUCUCAAAAUCUGAAUUGAUGUAAAGGAUGUGGUUUUAUUUAAUACUUACUCUUCUUGGAAUAUUCCCUACUACAAUGGCUUAUAAUAAUUUUGAUUUUGGCGAUACACUGGCGUUAAUUUUGGGCCUAAUUAUUGGAAUUGUCGGAUUUUUCGCUUGUAUGGGCGCUUACUCUAGGAGACGAAAUCAUUGAAAUUUUGUGACGAGUUGUAAUUGUUCCAAAUGUAUCAGACAUCGAUGUAAUAUUCGCAAAUGUGCCUGUUUUAAUUUGUUGCAGUUUUACAAAUUUUAUCUACUAUAAUUAUAGAACAGAACAAACAAUCAAUAAAAAGUGGCAAUUAAUAAAAAGUACAAUUUUUUA